rnacentral:rRNA from 1 species
GACAGAGGGUGCAAACGUUGUCCGGAAUCAUUGGGCGUAAAGCGCGCGUAGGCGGCCCUGUAAGUCCGCUGUGAAAGUCAAAGGCUCAACCUUUGAAAGCCGGUGGAUACUGCAGGGCUAGAGUCCGGAAGAGGCGAGUGGAAUCCCUGGUGUAGCGGUGGAAUGCGCAGAUAUCAGGAGGAACACCAAUAGCGAAGGCAGCUCACUACGCGAAUAUUGACACUGAGGCACGAAAGCGUGGGGAUCAAACAGG